GUGCCAGCAGCGGCGGUAAUACGGAGGGGGUUAGCGUUGUUCGGAAUUACUGGGCGUAAAGCGCGCGUAGGCGGAUAUUUAAGUCAGAGGUGAAAUCCCGGGGCUCAACCCCGGAACUGCCUUUGAUACUGGAUGUCUUGAGUUCGAGAGAGGUGAGUGGAAUUCCGAGUGUAGAGGUGAAAUUCGUAGAUAUUCGGAGGAACACCAGUGGCGAAGGCGGCUCACUGGCUCGAUACUGACGCUGAGGUGCGAAAGUGUGGGAGCAAACAGGAUUAGAUACCCUGGUAGUCCACACCGUAAACGAUGAAUGCCAGUCGUCGGGUAGUAUACUGCUCGGUGACACACCUAACGGAUUAAGCAUUCCGCCGUGGGAGUACGGUCGCAAGA
rnacentral:rRNA from 1 species